UAAAUUUGGAGAGCUAUAUAUAAUAUUUGUGUAGCAAAGAGGUGGCCAGCCGAUGGUCAUUAUUUUUGCAAAAAUGCAUGAUUAUUAAAUAAAAUUUUCAUUUUUCUCUAAAUACAUUAGUUGAUUACUUAUUACUUUCAUUGUAUUUUUUUGCUUUUUACAGAAGAAAAAUGUGUAUAAGUUCUAAAAGUUCAUACGGAGCAUGCAAUGAUGGAAAUGGAUAUUGAAAAUUUUCACGGAGGUUGAAAUCCAUCUAUUCACAAAGUAAUUGUCGGAGGAAUUCAAAUCGGUGCUUUCACUGAUUUACAUACUUUGGAUGAAGGAUACAUGUCUGUUGAAGGUGUUUGGAAAUGUUCCAAAAAUUUAAAAUUUUGUUUUAUUUCAUGUAAAUUGGUUCCUUUGUAAGUGAUUUUUAUAUUUAUUCUUAAAAUUUUCUUUUUAUGUUUUCAAAUUGGAUAUGGGAUCUAUGUGUAAAGUGCAUAAUGAGAGAUUAUUGAGGAUAAGUUAUAUCGACAUAUUCAUA